AGCGAACGCUGGCGGCAGGCUUAACACACGCAAGUCGAACGCCCCGCAAGGGGAGUGGCAGACGGGUGAGUAACACGUGGGAACGUACCCUUUGGUUCGGAAUAACUUGGGGAAACUCAAGCUAAUACCGGAUAAGCCCUUAUGGGGAAAGGUUUACUGCCGAAGGAUCGGCCCGCUUCUGAUUAGCUAGUUGGUGAGGUAAUGGCUCACCAAGGCGACGAUCAGUAGCUGGUCUGAGAGGAUGAUCAGCCACACUGGGACUGAGACACGGCCCAGACUCCUACGGGAGGCAGCAGUGGGGAAUAUUGGACAAUGGGGGCAACCCUGAUCCAGCCAUGCCGCGUGAGUGAUGAAGGCCUUAGGGUUGUAAAGCUCCUUUACCCGGGACGAUAAUGACUGUACCGGGAGAAUAAGCCCCGGCUAACUUCGUGCCAGCCGCCGCCGUAA
rnacentral:rRNA from 1 species